CAUUUAAGAAAGUAGGAAGACAAAGAACUAACCUAACUUACCGAAACACGAGGUAGCUCGCUCCUUACAGAGCACAUGUUGCAGAGAAGGAUUUUCAAAAACUUGAAAAACGAAUGGAGAAUCCUUAGAAACUCUGAUUUUCGCGAGAUGAAGACGAAAUCUCAAUAACAUUCUUUUGGCUAAAUGUACAAGCUGAGCAAUAUCCAGAUGGCACUAUGGUGUAUCCUGUGCUCGCCAAGUUUGCAUCAUUCCUCUGCAGAUGCAGAAAAGAAGUUUUUGCAAAUUAAUUUGUUGAAAAGGACGCAGAGAAAUCUAUUAUGCACCAAUAGUAUUGUUGGUCUAAUGUAUUCGAAAGAGUACAUAGGUUGCAUAGAAUGCUUCAAUUUAAAACUUGAUAAAACGCUCUUGGAAUAUCGUAAUAGUAACAUGUACAAAAGGUCUGAUAGCUUUUCUGACUCAGAACGAGUUAUUUGAAUCAAUUGAAAAAUAAGGCAUGUUUUUUUUUUCAAGUUAUAUUUAAAAAUAUAAUAUUUUUGUCAUAAUUUAUUUUUUAGUUAGGUAAAACUUAUGUACAAAAGAAUGAUUAAUUUUAAUUGCUCGUUUUGGUAGCUAUCUUCUCAUUUGACAAGUUUCGACAGAGUAGUACAACUCGGUUAUUUAAUUUUAAUAUUAUGUAAAUUGAGUUAUUAAUAAGAUAUUUUGUUCAAAAGGCGAUUUUUUUUCAAAAAACAGAAAUUCAGGGACAAUAA
rnacentral:lncRNA from 1 species